rnacentral:rRNA from 1 species
UGGCUAACUCCUACGGGAGGCAGCAGUGGGGAAUUUUGGACAAUGGGCGCAAGCCUGAUCCAGCCAUUCCGCGUGCAGGAUGAAGGCCCUCGGGUUGUAAACUGCUUUUGUACGGAACGAAAAGCCUUCUUCUAAUACAGGAGGGUCAUGACGGUACCGUAAGAAUAAGCACCGGCUAACUACGUGCCAGCAGCCGCGGUAAUACGUAGGGUGCAAGCGUUAAUCGGAAUUACUGGGCGUAAAGCGUGCGCAGGCGGUUAUGUAAGACAGAUGUGAAAUCCCCGGGCUCAACCUGGGAACUGCAUUUGUGACUGCAUAGCUAGAGUACGGUAGAGGGGGAUGGAAUUCCGCGUGUAGCAGUGAAAUGCGUAGAUAUGCGGAGGAACACCGAUGGCGAAGGCAAUCCCCUGGACCUGUACUGACGCUCAUGCACGAAAGCGUGGGGAGCAAACAGGAUUAGAAACCCGAGUAGUCCAGCUGG